rnacentral:tRNA from 1 species
AUCUUUCUAGUAAAAUAAGUACAAAUGACUUCCAAUUAUUUAAUCUUGGUUAAAGUCCAAGGAAAGAUA